rnacentral:lncRNA from 1 species
AUGAACUGCGUUCCUGGUUCCCAGCCCAGCCACUGCGGGCAUCUGCAGAGUGAGCCAGAAGAUGGGAGCUCUGGGCUCUCAUGCAAAAAAUCUUUGACCUCUGCGAGGGGACUUGGAGGGGGCCCUCCCUUCCCUGUGACCCCACAGACGCCACAGGCUGCCCGUCCGCUGCAGCAGAAAGCAGGGCACGCGAGCAGCUCCCCAGUACCACCGGGACGGACAGCUGCUCUUCAGAGAACUGCCCAGGCCACACAGCUGACCCAGGGCUCACGGGGCGCCCUCACGCAGCCCAUGCUGCCCGACAGUCUGAGCACCUUGGGGGAGCACCUCUGCAGGUCGGCCUCCUCGGCUGCCACAGUGCGGGGACCACCUACCCAACGCCCCGUGGGAGCAGCUGGAGGUCAGAGGCGGCCUUGGCCAGAGCCCAGCAGUCACCUCCCUGCCACACCUUGCCUGGGCCCCUGGCAUGGCCUAGAGCCGGCUGCUCUUGACCACUGUGUGGCGGGCGCAACGUCUAGACAACGGCAGCUGCCCUCUGCGGCCAGUGAUCCGGGAAGAGGCGGAUGGCCCAGCAGAACUGUCAGAGUCACCCCUUUCUCAGGGUCUCGCGGCGGUGACUCACUGUGACUCACGGCAGUGACCUUGGCUCCGUGUGAAGACCCCGCAAACGCAGCUGUCCCUGCGCCCCCUCUCGCCUGACGGCCUCCUCCUGCACAGCUCGUCCGUUCCGGCUCCUGUUACUCAUGUGGCUCCUAGAGGGUUCCAGAAAUCACUUCCCCCCGAACCGUCCAGGUCUGGCUCCCUUUCCUGCUGUCGCUGAGAAGGCCGGCGUGGCGGGCUCGGCCACCCUCUCCAUCCUGGGCUCUCGGGAGGGUAAUGCCAUCUCCCCUCCCGCCUCAGGUGCUGACGUGGAUUCGGAAUUUCCUUCUGUUUUCCUGGGAAUCUCAGCCUUGGAUCAUGGGGGAGUCUUCCUCCUGCUCUUCAGGUGGUGGGUAACCUGAGCCAGCCCUCCAACAUCCUUAAGUAGUCUCCUUUUCCCGGAUCUGUGUAUUGUGCCGUCCAGUCCUUCUAUUAAAUGUUAAGACUGCCAUGUUUGGGGCCAGCACUGUAGUGCAGUAGGUAAAGCUGCUGCCUGUGACGCCAGCAUCCCAUAGAAGCACCAGUUCACGUCCCAGCUACUCGACUUCUGAUCCAGCUCCUUCCUUCUGGAAGAUGGCCCAAGUGUGUGCCCCUACCACCCGCAUGGGUACCCAGAAGCAGCUCCUGUUUCCUGGUUCUGGCCUGCCCCAGCCCUGACCCUUGUGGCCAUCUGGGGAGUGAACCAGCGGACAGAAGAUCUUUCUGUCUCACCCUCUCUCUCUAUAGCUCUGACUUACAGAUAAAUGAAGAGUUUAAAAACACUUUCGUCCUGUUUAGUCCCCAGGCCUUUUUCUUGUUCUUCACAGACAUAAUGUUACCUCUUUUAAGGUCAUCUUCCUUCCUGUCAUUGUCUUUAAUUUACUUACUUGAAAGGCAGAGAGCGCUCUUUGCCGUGCUGUUUCACUCCCCAAAUGCCUGCGUCAGUUCGGGCCAGGCCAAAGCCAGGAGCCCGGAACUCAUCCUGGGUCUCCCACAUGGGCAGCAGGGGCCCAAGUGCCUGAGCUGUCACUGCUGCCUGC